rnacentral:rRNA from 1 species
GACAUCCCAAUGACAUCUCCUUAAUCGGAGAGUUCCCUUCGGGGACAUUGGUGACAGGUGGUGCAUGGUUGUCGUCAGCUCGUGUCGUGAGAUGUUGGGUUAAGUCCCGCAACGAGCGCAACCCUUGUCUUUAGUUGCCAUCAUUAAGUUGGGCACUCUAGAGAGACUGCCAGGGAUAACCUGGAGGAAGGUGGGGAUGACGUCAAAUCAUCAUGCCCCUUAUGCUUAGGGCUACACACGUGCUACAAUGGGUAGUACAGAGGGUUGCCAAGCCGUAAGGCGGAGCUAAUCCCUUAAAGCUACUCUCAGUUCGGAUUGUAGGCUGAAACUCGCCUACAUGAAGCUGGAGUUACUAGUAAUCGCAGAUCAGAAUGCUGCGGUGAAUGCGUUCCCGGGUCUUGUACACACCGCCCGUCACACCACGGGAGUUGGAGACGCCCGAAGCCGAUUAUCUAACCUUUUGGAAGAAGUCGUCGAAGGUGGAAUCAAUAACUGGGGUGAAGUCGUAACAAGGUAGCCGUAUCGGAA